rnacentral:rRNA from 1 species
CUACGGGGGGCUGCAGUGGGGAAUAUUGCACAAUGGGCGCAAGCCUGAUGCAGCAACGCCGCGUGAGGGACGAAGGCCUUCGGGUUGUAAACCUCUUUUAGCAGGGAAGAAGCGAAAGUGACGGUACCUGCAGAAAAAGCACCGGCUAACUACGUGCCAGCAGCCGCGGUAAUACGGUAGGGUGCAAGCGUUGUCCGGAAUUAUUGGGCGUAAAGAGCUCGUAGGCGGUUUGUCACGUCUGCUGUGAAAUUUCGAGGCUCAACCUCGAACUUGCAGUGGGUACGGGCAGGCUAGAGUGCGGUAGGGGAGAUGGGAAUUCCUGGUGUAGCGGUGGAAUGCGCAGAUAUCAGGAGGAACACCAAUGGCGAAGGCACAUCUCUGGGCCGUAACUGACGCUGAGGAGCGAAAGCGUGGGGAGCGAACAGGAUUAGAUACCCCAGUAGUC